AGUUUGCUGAGGAUGUGGCUGCAACAUCUGUCACCCUGUUGAUCGCCAGGGUUGAUUCAGCUGAUCUGGCUGGCUAGGCGGGUGUCCGCUUCUUCCCUCACCACUCCAUGUGGGUCCCUCCUGAGGCUAUGUGCUCAGUCCAAGAGGAUGACCUUCCCCAACAGAGGAGGACUAGUCUUUGGUCAAGGGUGUAAGAGUAGAUGCGCUCCCCUGCUAGAACCUCCAAACAAGCUCUCAAGAUAGUUUGCUGACAUCGACAGACUUGGAGAACAGCAUGGACAAUUGCCAGCUCCAGGAAGCAAAGCCAAGUCACUUCUU
rnacentral:snRNA from 1 species